GCUCAAAAGCCAUAAACAAUGUCUGACAAGAGAAGCACCAGUACCAGUAAGAAGUUCAGGUUUAUUCGUGUGCCAAAACUUGGCACCAUCUCCAAGUGAGAAGGUUAAGGCUUCCUUGCUUGAUCACAUGGUUGCUGUGUUCCAGGAGAACAAGAAUAGAAGCUGUAAGGCCACUUUCACUCUGGGCUUAUAACUCAAGCACUGGCACUUCUAUUUCAUUCUAUUAAUGACAAGGCUGGAUUUGAGGAAUGGAUACAUUGACUACCCUUGAGUGGAGAUGCAUAACAGUUCACUACUGAAUACCUGCCACAGGCCAGCCACUGUUCUCAGUUCUCUUGUGCUACUUCAACGGACUUUUCCUACAUGUAGGU